UGCGUAGGCGGACGGGUAAGUCUGAUGUGAAAUCUCACAGCUUAACUGUGAAACUGCAUUGGAUACUAUUCGGCUUGAGAGUUGGAGGGGGGACUGGAAUUCUUGGUGUAGCAGUGAAAUGCGUAGAUAUCAAGAGGAACACCAGUGGCGAAGGCGAGUCCCUGGACAACUUCUGACGCUGAGGCACGAAAGCUAGGGGAGCAAACA
rnacentral:rRNA from 1 species